UACGUAGGGUGCGAGCGUUAAUCGGAAUUACUGGGCGUAAAGCGUACGCAGGCGGUUUUGUAAGACAGGCGUGAAAUCCCCGAGCUUAACUUGGGAAUGGCGCUUGUGACUGCAAGGCUAGAGUAUGUCAGAGGGGGGUAGAAUUCCACGUGUAGCAGUGAAAUGCGUAGAGAUGUGGAGGAAUACCGAUGGCGAAGGCAGCCCCCUGGGACGUCACUGACGCUCAUGCACGAAAGCGUGGGGAGCAAACAGG
rnacentral:rRNA from 1 species